rnacentral:rRNA from 1 species
AUGGAUGUGGCAACGGGCGCUAUAGGAUCCCUGCUCCCCAAGCUAGACGAGCUCCUCAACGAGAAGUACAAACUGCAGGUGAGCAUCAGGGAAGACAUAGUUUCUCUCUCCCGGGAGAUGAAGAGCAUGUACGCUGCCCUUGGCAAGGUGGCCGAGGUUCCGCGGGACCAGCUCGACGAGCAGGUCAAGCUGGUCAAGCUCUGGGCAGGGGAGGUCAGGCAGCUGUCGUACAUCACAGAGGUUAUCCUCGACAAGCUUCUUAUGGGAGUCCCCGACUCACAAGGCUCUACGGGGCCCAUGGAAAAGAAGUGCAGUUGGUUCAAGAAACGCAAGCUUCGCGAUGAGAUAGCGGACACAAUCAAGGACAUCAGGGUUCGAAUCCAAAAGGCCGCCGAUCGAUGUGACCGGUACAGGGUUCAUGAUAUUGUUAAUAAUUACAGAGCCCCAGUCGCUAUAGAUCCUCGUUUGUUAGAUCUGUACAAAGAUGAGAAAGAACUUGUCGGCAUUGAUGGGAAAAACUUUCAAGAGCUCAUGAAGUUAGUGUCAGAUGGGGACAAUGUGCCCAGCAAAAAGCUAAAGAUAGUCUCAGUUGUUGGAUUUGGAGGACUGGGCAAAACUACUCUGGUCAAAAGGGUGUAUGACAAGAUCAAGAGUGGUUUCGACUGCAUAGCUUUCGUUCCAACCGGUGAGAAUGCUAACGUGAAGGAGGUUUUCAUGCAUAUCAUCCUUGGUCUCAGCAUGUAUGGAAAUCAACUCUCCAUGCUGGACGAACAACAGCUCAUCCAAAAACUUGGUCAACUCCUUGAGAACAAAAGGUACCUCAUCGUUAUAGAUAAUAUAUGGGAUAAAAAUGUGUGGGAAACUAUCAAGCUUGCUUUCUCUGGAUUUAACUGUCUUGGCAGCCGAAUAAUCACUACAACCCGCAUACUCAGUGUAUCUGAAGCAUGUUGCUCGUCUUCUAACGACUCAAUUUAUCAAAUGGAACCUCUGUCUGAUGAUGACUCCAAAAAACUCUUUUAUAGUAUAAUAUUCUCUUCUGUGAGUGGAUGUCCUCACGAAUAUGAACAAGUAUCUAUUGAUAUCUUGAAGAAAUGUGGCGGGGUACCUUUAGCCAUCAUUACUACGGCUGGUAUGUUGGCUAGUGAUCAGCGGGUCAAAUCAGUGGAUGAAUGGCAUGUCUUGCUCAGUUCUAUUGGUCAUGGCUUGGCAGAAGAUCGCUGUUGGAAGAAGAUGCUAAGGAUAUUAUCCUUUAGCUACUAUGAACUUUCCCCACUUCUGAAGACUUGCUUACUGUGCUUGAGUAUAUUCCCCGGGGCUCUCCCGAUUAUAAGAGACCGGCUGGUGAAAAAAUUGGUAGCGGAAGGGAUUGUUACUCAGGAGACUAAGUUGAUUGGAUCACCAAACAAAUAUGAGGCCAGGGAGAUUAGUCGAGAGGAGGCAGCAAGCCACUGCUUGGACCAACUCGUCAAUAGGAAUGUUAUUCAUCCCCUGGAAUGCAACAACAAUGGUGAGGCAAUAAGCUACCAUAUCCACCCUAUGAUGCACGGCCUCCUUAAAGCCAUAGCCAUAGAUGAGAACUUUGCUGCUUCGCUUGAUCUCAAAAAUAAUUAUUCAGUGAAAUAUUUUAACCGGCUGGAAGGUUUCCGAUCUGCUCUGCCUCACCUCUCUAUUAAGUGCCCGGAUUCAGAAAUUUUAAAUGAUUUACCAAGGAUGGCGUCUCAUGGUGGUGUUCGCUCCUUGACUGUUUUUGGUCAUGCAAACCGGAGUCUGCUUAGGCACUUUGAAGGUAUACGACUUUUGGAUUUAGAAGGCUGCAAGAGCAUUGAGAGAGCUGAUGUGGAGUACAUAUGCAGUAUGGUCCUGUUGAAGCAGUUGUGCCUUGCAAAGACGGAAAUCAACGAGCUCCCACCAGAAAUUGGCAAUCUACAACAUUUGCAGGGACUAGAUGUAGGAGGGACUCAAAUAACCGAGCUUCCACCAGAAAUAGGUAACCUACAAUAUUUGGAGAGACUAAAUAUAGGAGGGACUGAAAUCACUGAGCUGCCAACACAAAUUGGCAAGUUAAAGCAUCUGAAGACUCUAGAUGCAAGGAAAUCACAAGUCAAAGAUUUACCUGAUGAAGUUGUCCAGCUCACAAGGCUGGCCAAUCUGCUUAUUGGUGACGACGAAUCCUGUGAAGGAGUGAAGUUACCUGAUGGAUUUGGGAAGAUGACAUCACUGCAGCAACUGGGCACCAUUGAUUUGAGGAAAUGCUCGUCAUCCUCUCUGAAGGAACUUGGUGAGCUCCCUUAUCUGAAAGAGAUUGCAGUAGUGUCAAGUGAUGGACAGGAAGACACAAGAAUGUACAAUGCUCUGCUUUAUUCCCUCAACAAAUCCAUCAAGAAGAGUUCCCUGGCAGUUUAUAGUGAUUUCAGAUUGAGCACAGUACAGUCAUCAUCAGGAUACAAAUAUCUCGACUACUGGAAGAAACAUUCUGUGCUAAGAUUCUUGAAGGUUCCAACUGGUCAUGCAGGGCUACAUCUUGGUAUGCUUGAUAUCAGGGUCUGCAAGCUAGAAGAGGAUGAUCUGAAGAUACUCGGAAAGCUGCCUAGGUUGCAGAGCCUCAUCGUGCGGCUUGAAGUCCUCCCAACAAAAAUGAUACACAUCAGGUAUGUGGGGUUUGCAAAACUUGAGAGGUUCUACGUUGAUUUCCGAAUACCUAGGGUGGUCUUUGAGGAAGGAGCUAUGCCAAAGCUGGAACAUGUUGAGCUCAAGCUGUACGCUGGAUCAGCCAGUGAAGAACAUAUGGGCAUCAGCCACCUCCUAAACCUUCAAAAGGUCACUCUCCGGUACUCCAAAUGGUAUGCAACCAACAAGGGCGUCAAGGAGACAACUGAAGCUGUGAAAAGUGAGUGUAAGGAGCACCAGAACGAGCUCACUCUGUGCAUUGCUGAAGAGGAGAAAAAUGGUAUCUGCAACAUGAAGACUGAGGUUUUUCAAGAGAACAGAGUUGCUAGUUCCAGUAAGAUGACUGAGAUUGUAAAAGAAGAAGAAGAAGACACACAAGAGGGAGGCCUUCAUCAGAGGGAGGCCACUGCUAGCUGCAACGGGACAAGUGAGAUCGAAGAAGUUGUGGAGUAG